rnacentral:rRNA from 1 species
AGCGAACGCUGGCGGCAGGCCUAACACAUGCAAGUCGAACGAACCUUUCGGGGUUAGUGGCGGACGGGUGAGUAACACGUGGGAACGUGCCUUUAGGUUCGGAAUAACUCAGGGAAACUUGUGCUAAUACCGAAUGUGCCCUUCGGGGGAAAGAUUUAUCGCCGUUAGAGCGGCCCGCGUCUGAUUAGCUAGUUGGUUGAGGUAAUGGCUCACCAAGGCGACGAUCAGUAGCUGGUCUGAGAGGAUGAUCAGCCACAUUGGGACUGAGACACGGCCCAAAAUCCUACGGGAGGCAGCAGUGGGGAAUCUUGCGCAAUGGGCGAAAGCCUGACGCAGCCAUGCCGCGUGAAUGAUGAAGGUCUUAGGAUAGUAAAAUUCUUUCACCGGGGACGAUAAUGACGGUACCCGGAGAAGAAGCCCCGGCUAACUUCGUG